AGUGAACGCUGGCGGUAGGCCUAACACAUGCGAGUCGAACGGCAGCACAGUAAGAGCUUGCUCUUACGGGUGGCGAGUGGCGGACGGGUGAGGAAUACAUCGGAAUCUACUUUUUCGUGGGGGAUAACGUAGGGAAACUUACGCUAAUACCGCAUACGACCUACGGGUGAAAGCAAGGGAUCUUCGGACCUUGCGCGAUUGAAUGAGCCGAUGUCGGAUUAGCUAGUUGGCGGGGUAAAGGCCCACCAAGGCGACGAUCCGUAGCUGGUCUGAGAGGAUGAUCAGCCACACUGGAACUGAGACACGGUCCAGACUCCUACGGGAGGCAGCAGUGGGGAAUAUUGGACAAUGGGCGCAAGCCUGAUCCAGCCAUACCGCGUGGGUGAAGAAGGCCUUCGGGUUGUAAAGCCCUUUUGUUGGGAAAGAAAAGCAGCAGGUUAAUACCCCGCUGUUCUGACGGUACCCAAAGAAUAAGCACCGGCUAACUUCGUG
rnacentral:rRNA from 1 species